rnacentral:lncRNA from 1 species
GUGAAACCAAAGAAAUCGUCAUGGUGGAAAAGAGCUUAAUAUGGGUAUGAAAAAAUGUUGAUUUCUCUCACCCCAGAGAUAUUUCUAAGAAACUAGAAAUAAUUUUCUAGGUAAAUGGGCUUAUGCAAAAUAUAAGGAAAGAGUCCACAAUCACAGAAGAUGUUCUGCUCUUCACUGACAUGUCUCUUCCUGGACAUGCUAAUCCUUAUGGAAUUCACCAACAUAUUGCAUAGAGAAAACCAUUCCAUCAAUAUGGAAGAAAUAAAAUAAAGCCAAGAAAGAAGAUGGAUGAUCUGUCAAGCAAUGAAAGACUUUUCUCCUCUGGGACAAUGUACCACUUCCACAGUACUCUCCAUCCCUCCCUGAUCAGGAUGCUGGUGUCUGGGGCAUAACAACAUUCUUUCGUGGAAGUUUGGCAGUCAUCCAUCAUCAAUGCUCUCCUUGGAAGUUCUCAUGCAUCAUGGAAAAGGGCCUGCCCUCUCCCUACCAACAAUAUUUGCCUGGAAGGAGAAAAUUCCCCCUCCCCACAGCUCUAGCUCUCUUUCUCUGACAAAUCCGCAGUGCAGCAGGAAGUGGCAAGUAGGUGUGAAUAAACUCAGCCAAUAUUCAGUGCCAAGAAAAUGAAGCACUUUUUUUU